UACGGGGGGGGCAAGCGUUGUUCGGAAUUACUGGGCGUAAAGGGCUGGUAGGCGGCCCACUAAGUCGGAUGUGAAAUCCCCAGGCUUAACCUGGGAACUGCAUCCGAUACUGGUCGGCUUGAAUCCGGGAGAGGGAUGCAGAAUUCCAGGUGUAGCGGUGAAAUGCGUAGAUAUCUGGAGGAAUACCGGUGGCGAAGGCGGCAUCCUGGACCGGCAUUGACGCUGAACAGCGAAAGCUAGGGGAGCAAACGGG
rnacentral:rRNA from 1 species